rnacentral:rRNA from 1 species
AACGUAGGAGACGAACGUUAUCCGGAGUUACUGGGCGUAAAGGGCGUGUAGGCGGUUUGUUAAGUCUGGCGUGAAAGCUCUCGGCUAAACCGGGAGAGGUCGUUGGAUACUGGCGAACUAGAGGAUGGUAGAGGCGUGUGGAAUUCCGGGUGUAGUGGUGAAAUUCGUAGAUAUUCGGAGGAACACCAGUGGCGAAAGCGGCUCACUGGAUCUCUUCUGACGCUGAGGCACGAAAGCUAGGGUAGCAAACGGG